CCUGGACGGGGCUGGAGCGAUGGGGAAGAGAGUGCGGUGGGGUCCCUUGGUUCCCGUCCCCAGGAAGCCGGCGAGAUGGAACUGGCAUCUAUCGGGCCCUGACCGUGCUGGGGGCUGCACCGGCUCGGAAAGAAACCGAUCAGUGCAGGCACCAGUGCUUGACGGUCAGCUUGGGCCUGGGAUCCUGACCCUGCACCCGGGCUCUGAGAGGGAGAACUGUGGCGUUUGCUCAGCCAAGCCCGGACAGCUUAGCCGCCAGCCCCCUCCACCUUCCCGCAGCCCUUCUCUUCCCCAGAGGUCAGAAGCCAGGCAGGAAGACCUAAGAGGGGCUAUCUGUUGAGGCCCCAGGGAGGGAGGAAGCCUGUCCCUGCCCUGAGGGCCUGACCCCAGGCUAGGUCUCAAGAGAGGCUGGAAGCCAGAGGCCUGAGGCCAGUCCCGUUGCUGACGCGGAUGUGGUCCAGCUGGGGCCCUGACAGGUGUGGCCACUGGUGAGGCCAGAGGUAACCGGGCUGGGAGGGGGGUGCAUCUUCAAGCCACACCUCCCCAGACCAGCCUCCCUCCCUCCCCAUCCAUGCUUGUGUGGGGUCCUUGUGGGCAACUGUCACCCUUUCCCACCCCCACUGUCCUGGGAGGACUGGAGGAUGGGGUUGGGUGGUGACGCCAGCUUCAAGAAGCAGCAGUUAGUCGCUGGUCUGUGCUGCCAGGACCCCGGGCCACGGGCCUUCCUGCUCCCGCCACUCCUCCCACCGCCUGAACUUGUGCUGAGAUCCUGCACCCAACCAGCUGAUGCCUGAGCGGGAAAGGAUUCUAGGGCCAGAUCCGUGCUGGCCUGGCCAAGACUCUUGGAACCACCCUGCUGUCCCGGGCUGUCUCUGCUGGAGCCUCUUUGCUCCCGCCCCCUUUGCAAGUGUCUGACCCGCAUCCCACUACUCCCGCUCCUCGUCCCUCUGCCUCUCCAAGAGCUGUGCUCCCACGGCCUUCCCUCUGGCCUCACAGCCACCACCACGUCCCCCCUCCUCACGUCCAGGAACAUCUCCCAGCCCCCGACGAG
rnacentral:lncRNA from 1 species